UCUCACCAUUUACAACAGGGAGCUGACUACUCAGGUAGUGAUGGCAUGAAUUCUGGCUCAAUGAAUAUUAUCAGAGGAUUUUAAUCAAAAUUUUAGUCAUGGCACCUGGUCGUCGCACCACUCGAUCUACUGCUCAAAGUCAACAAGUUGAACCAGUCAUUGAUCCUCCUGCUCCACCUUCACAAGUUGUUCGCACUACUCGAUCGAGUAUAGAGAAUCAAUAAGUUGAACCAGCCAUUGAUCCUCUUGCUCCACCUACACAGGUUAUUCGCACUACUCAGUCGAGUUUAGAGAAUCAACAAGUUUGUCGCACCACUCGAUCUAGGGUACUAAGUCAACGACCUAGAACCACCACACAAUCUAAUGUAGAGAGAGAACACCCUCAAGGCUCCACACACCCUACUGUACAGGGUGAACAAGUCAAUGUGACGACCCAUUUUGAUACCGAAGAUGAUAAUGAAUCUUCCCAAGUUCCAUCUGGACAAACAUCUUCCUUUAAGCCACGUGGAGUUACUCGCGGCUUGACAACUACAACUAUAGCUAAGGCAUCAUCAACUGGAAAGUUGUCAGUGACUUUUAAUGCGGAGUGUCGUCAACCAAUUUGUACUAAUGCUGAGAAAUUUAAUAAUGAGAUUGGAUUCAUUAUUCGGAAUCAUGGUAAAUUUCAUUAUAAAGAGUGGAGAAUGGUCCCUGAAGAUGUGAGAGCUCCAUUGCG